rnacentral:lncRNA from 1 species
GACUGCAGUGGCAUUUGCAGACAAUGUCAUAAAAAAUUCUGCAGCUAAUAAAAGUUUUGACUCUUCUCAUACCAUCAAAGAGAAAAAGAAUAGAAAGGGAUAAAUAUAAAUAUUAGAAAGCAGAGAACCAUAACUAGAAGCACGCGACUUAAGCUCUACCAAGAGAACAAAUAGUCACAUAAGUUUGCAAAAUGACAUUCUGUCUUCAUUUGAGUAAUGAGUCCAUUGGUGAAUUUGGACGUUAAAACAGUAUCAGUGAAAAUCAGAUAAGAACAAGCAGAAUACGCAAUUUGAUAACAAACUCAUCUAACAAUAGCAAAAGGUCACUUCUUUACUUAAAUAUCGAACCAUAUUAACAAAUGAGAUAAGAACAAGCAGAAUACGCAAUUUGAUAACAAACUCAUCUAACAGUAGCAAAAGGUCACUUCUUUACUUAAAUAUCGAACCAUAUUAACAAAUAAGAAUCAUAACGUGAUUGGUCUCCAGAAGCACAUUAGUAUCUCCACCCCCCUUUCUUUUUUAAAAAGUAAUUCUACCCUGCCUCGGUUAGAAAUUGAAAAUCCAUUAUGUUAGUUAGCACAAACUGUUUCCUCCAUUUCCAAUCCUUUCAGUUAGAACUUCAGAUAUCAUAAGCAAUCAAUAGAUAUUCAUUCAUAAAAUACGGCUAAAUCAUACAAGUAGUAAAGAAUUGAGAGUGCAUCCAGUGAAGAAAGUUCACAAAUCUUUCUUUCUUUCUUUCUUUUUUGUGGUGGGGGGGUUUGGAAUGGUUUCCAGUUUUUCAGUAUUUCCAUAGUUCUCAUCACCUUGUGACAAAUUUGUCAAACACAAGUUACUCCUCUUUUUCUCUUUCCUAAUCUAACAUUAUUAAUCAAAUAAAAUGCAAUGAAUUUGUUCAAUGACUUUAUCACAGCUUCAUGAACUAAUUUCAAGACAACUCCUAGUCUAGAAGUUCACGGAAAAUGUAAAAUAUCUCUUCUGCAAUGUUAAAAAUUUGUUUACAGUUGAGCUAUUGAAAAGCUACUCCUGAAUUCCGGAGCAUGCCAGAACAAUCUAACAUUAUUAAUCAAAUAAAAUGCAAUGAAUUUGUUCAAUGACUUUAUCACAGCUUCAUGAACUAAUUUCAAGACAACUCCUAGUCUAGAAGUUCACGGAAAAUGUAAAAUAUCUCUUCUGCAAUGUUAAAAAUUUGUUUACAGUUGAGCUAUUGAAAAGCUACUCCUGAAUUCCGGAGUAUGCCAGAACAAUCAUUUUCAAGAUGAAGAUACAACUCCUCAUGGAUGGAAAGCAAAAUCCUAGUCCCACCUAACAUUUCCACAGAUAUUAAAUUGAUAAAUUACCUU